CAAUUUCGGUCUUUACGUUGAAACUCUUCGCUGAAAGAUUGGUGAGAGAGGAAGAGAGGGGGAUAACAAGAACCAAACUUUCUCUUACUACCUAACCGUUGUGUCCUCAGGUAGAAACCCAUUUAUAGAUAGAGAGACGCAGAGCCUGACACGCAGAACGAGGAAAGGAUGUCAACAACUUCAUUGUGUUCAUCGAUCCAAUCCCAGAUCAAUGGGUUUGGUGGGGAUCUUAAGCUUCAGAAAACAUCUCUCUCUCGACCCAACUCGCUCACCUUCUCCAGGAGGAAAUAUAAAACUGUGGUGAAGGCUACAUCUCGGGUUGAUAAGUUUUUAAAAACUGAUGUCAUUGUUUCUCCAUCUAUUCUGUCGGCCAACUUUUCAAAGUUGGGAGAGCAGGUAAAAGCAGUGGAGUUGGCAGGUUGUGAUUGGAUUCAUGUUGACGUGAUGGAUGGUCGUUUUGUUCCCAAUAUUACAAUUGGACCUCUUGUUGUCGAUGCCUUGCGUCCUGUGACAGAUCUUCCUUUGGAUGUGCACUUGAUGAUAGUGGAACCUGAUCAACGUGUGCCAGAUUUUAUCAAGGCAGGAGCUGACAUAGUUAGUGUUCAUUGUGAGCAAUCUGCCACCAUCCAUUUGCAUCGCACAGUUAAUCAAAUCAAAAGUUUGGGAGCCAAAGCUGGAGUUGUUCUUAACCCUGGUACCCCAUUAACUGCAAUAGAAUACGUCCUUGAUGUGGUGGAUCUGGUCUUGAUUAUGUCUGUAAAUCCUGGGUUUGGUGGGCAGAGCUUUAUUGAGAGCCAAGUGAAGAAAAUCUCAGACUUGAGAAGAAUUUGUGCAGAGAAGGGAGUAAACCCAUGGAUUGAAGUAGAUGGAGGAGUUGGUCCAAAAAAUGCGUAUAAGGUUAUUGAAGCUGGAGCUAAUGCUCUAGUUGCUGGUUCUGCUGUCUUUGGAGCCAAAGAUUAUGCUGAAGCUAUUAGAGGAAUCAAAACCAGCAAAAGGCCUGUAGCUGUUGCAGUGUGAAAUGACCUUGAACGGAUCAUAUUCUAUGCAACUUGUGAUACUGUAUUUCUUCAAUUACGUGUAUGUUACCUUGUUACGCCAUCUUGAGUUACUCGAUUAAAUUCUGAAAGAUGAACUCCAUGGUUCAAUGGUGUCGAAAGAAGAGCCGUGAUUCUAAGAAGUUAUCCCUAAAGUUGAUAAAGAAGUGCAUGUCUUUUUGUGGUGGUUCAUCCGACCAGAUAACACUCUGAAUUUCUAUUACAAUACACAAGUCAAUAGGCAGCUUACUGCUAGUAUCAAGUUGUCAGAAGUGCUGUGAGUUACUGUAAAUUAUCUGUCAUCAGCGAUGAAUUAGUAAGAUUUCAAAUGUGGUAGUUGUAACCAGAAUAAAACCCUGUGAGGAUUUAAUAAUUCAAAAUACUUGAAGCCCUUUGCUACAAA